UUGAUCCUGCCGGACCCGACUGCUAUCAGAGUGGGACUAAGCCAUGCGAGUCAACGCAGCAAUGCGUGGCACACGGCUCAGUAACACGUAGUCAACAUGCCCAGGGGACGUGGAUAACCUCGGGAAACUGAGGAUAUACCGCGAUAGGCCAAGGUUUCUGGAAUGGACACUGGCUGAAACCUAUAUGGCCCCUGGAUUGGACUGCGGCCGAUCAGGCUGUUGGUGAGGUAAUGGCCCACCAAACCUGUAACCGGUACGGGCUUUGAGAGAAGGAGCCCGGAGAUGGGCACUGAGACAAGGGCCCAGGCCCUAUGGGGCGCAGCAGGCGCGAAAAUUCUGCAAUAGGCGAAAGCUUGACAGAGUUACUCUGAGUGAUGCCCGCUAAGGGCAUCUUUUGGCACCUCUAAAAAUGGUGCAGAAUAAGGGGUGGGCAAGUCUGGUGUCAGCCGCCGCGGUAAUACCAGCACCCCGAGUGGUCGGGACGAUUAUUGGGCCUAAAGCAUCCGUAGCCGGUCCUGCAAGUCCUCCGUUAAAUCCACCCGCUCAACGGUUGGGCCGCGGGGGAUACUACAGGGCUAGGAGGCGGGAGAGGCAAGCGGUACUCGAUGGGUAGGGGUAAAAUCCACUGAUCCAUUGAAGACCACCAGUGGCGAAGGCGGCUUGCCAGAACGCGCUCGACGGUGAGGGAUGAAAGCUGGGGGAGCAAACCGGAUUAGAUACC
rnacentral:rRNA from 1 species